UAGGGAAUCUUCCGCAAUGGACGCAAGUCUGACGGAGCAACGCCGCGUGAGUGAAGAAGGAUUUCGGUUCGUAAAACUCUGUUGUUAGAGAAGAACAGCGCAUAGAGUAACUGUUAUGCGUGUGACGGUAUCUAACCAGAAAGCCACGGCUAACUACGUGCCAGCAGCCGCGGUAAUACGUAGGUGGCAAGCGUUGUCCGGAUUUAUUGGGCGUAAAGCGAGCGCAGGCGGUCAAUUAAGUCUGAUGUGAAAGCCCCCGGCUCAACCGGGGAGGGUCAUUGGAAACUGGUUGACUUGAGUGCAGAAGAGGAGAGUGGAAUUCCAUGUGUAGCGGUGAAAUGCGUAGAUAUAUGGAGGAACACCAGUGGCGAAGGCGACUCUCUGGUCUGUAACUGACGCUGAGGCUCGAAAGCGUGGGUAGAAAACAGG
rnacentral:rRNA from 1 species